rnacentral:rRNA from 1 species
GAUGAACGCUGGCGGCGUGCCUAAUACAUGCAAGUCGAGCGAACAGACGAGGAGCUUGCUCCUCUGACGUUAGCGGCGGACGGGUGAGUAACACGUGGAUAACCUACCUAUAAGACUGGGAUAACUUCGGGAAACCGGAGCUAAUACCGGAUAAUAUAUUGAACCGCAUGGUUCAAUAGUGAAAGACGGUUUUGCUGUCACUUAUAGAUGGAUCCGCGCCGCAUUAGCUAGUUGGUAAGGUAACGGCUUACCAAGGCAACGAUGCGUAGCCGACCUGAGAGGGUGAUCGGCCACACUGGAACUGAGACACGGUCCAGACUCCUACGGGAGGCAGCAGUAGGGAAUCUUCCGCAAUGGGCGAAAGCCUGACGGAGCAACGCCGCGUGAGUGAUGAAGGUCUUCGGAUCGUAAAACUCUGGUAUUAGGGAAGAACAAAUGUGUAAGUAACUAUGCACGUCUUGACGGUACCUAAUCAGAAAGCCACGGCUAACUACGUG